rnacentral:rRNA from 1 species
UACGAAGGUGGCAAGCGUUGUUCGGAUUUACUGGGCGUACAGGGUGCGUAGGCGGUUGGAUAAGCCCUCCGUGAAAUCUCCAGGCUUAACCUGGAAAGUGCAGAGGGGACUGUUCAGCUAGAGGAUGGGAGAGGAGCGCGGAAUUCCCGGUGUAGCGGUGAAAUGCGUAGAGAUCGGGAGGAAGGCCGGUGGCGAAGGCGGCGUUCUGGACUGCAACUGACACUGAGGAACGAAAGCCAGGGGAGCAAACGGG